AUUGAACGCUGGCGGCAGGCCUAUCACAUGCAAGUCGAGCGGAUGAAGGGAGCUUGCUCCUGGAUUCAGCGGCGGACGGGUGAGUAAUGCCUAGGAAUCUGCCUGGUAGUGGGGGAUAACGUCCGGAAACGGGCGCUAAUACCGCAUACGUCCUGAGGGAGAAAGUGGGGGAUCUUCGGACCUCACGCUAUCAGAUGAGCAUAGGUCGGAUUAGCUAGUUGGUGGGGUAAAGGCCUACCAAGGCGACGAUCCGUAACUGGUCUGAGAGGAUGAUCAGUCACACUGGAACUGAGACACGGUCCAGACUCCUACGGGAGGCAGCAGUGGGGAAUAUUGGACAAUGGGCGAAAGCCUGAUCCAGCCAUGCCGCGUGUGUGAAGAAGGUCUUCGGAUUGUAAAGCACUUUAAGUUGGGAGGAAGGGCAGUAAGUUAAUACCUUGCUGUUUUGACGUUACCAACAGAAUAAGCACCGGCUAACUUCGUG
rnacentral:rRNA from 1 species